rnacentral:misc_RNA from 1 species
AAGCCACCUGCUCUUUUUUGUUCAUCUUUCUUGCCAUAUAAAGGAAAGCCCCAAACCCCUCAAUCAUAUCGCCACCAGAGCCUUUCAAUAAGCUCGCCUUUUCCCCUCCUCUUUUCUUCCUCAACGAAAACACCAAAAAACAUUUAACACUUCUCCCUACACACGACAGUCAACGAUGCGGAGGGCUUUCGCUUCUGUAUCUGUCGCUGCUGCCGCCUACCUGCGUUGCUAUGCGACCAAGCACUUUACCGACAGCCACGAGUGGGUGAUGCAGUGCGAGGAUGAGAUAACUAUUGGAAUCUCCAGCUACGCCCAGGAGAAUCUGGGUGACGUGGUGUACGUCUCUCUCCCGCAGGUGGGCGAUACUGUCAAGGCGAAGGAUGUCAUAGGCGAGGUGGAGAGCGUGAAGGCCACGAGCAAUGUGUACUCCCCGGUUGACGGCACCAUCACCGCAGUGAACGAGAACCUGAAAGACCAGCCGGGCCUCGUUAAUCAAUCUCCUGAGGAGAAGGGCUGGCUGAUCAAGGUGAAAUGCUCUGAGAUUCCAAAGGGUCUUAUGGACGAGGCGGCGUACAAGAAGUUCCUCGAGUAGUGACGUGCGCGCAGGUGUUUCGACAAGAGAGUAUUUUAGUUUUUCGGUUCUCCUUACGUGUAUCUCACCUUGCGCUUGUGUGUGUGUGUGUGUACCUUUUUUUUCUUUGGCUCUGCGGAAAAGAGAAAAAAAUGACGCGACCAAGUCGGGUAUGUGUGCGCGUAAGCGUGUGCCUACGUGUGCUUCUCAGAGUCUAUGUAUACGUGCAUGCGUUCGAACGCCGCUUCUUUUCAUCCACGAAGAGAAGCAGUGCCGCAGACUUUUUUUUUGAAAAAAAAAAACGAAUCGAAGGCGACUUGGCUUUUCAAAGCGCGUCGGUCUCAGCUGUGGAGGGGCCGUGCCUGCGGUGACCGAAAGACUAGGGAGUACGAGAGAGAAACUCAGAACCGAAAGAGACGACCGUGUAAGCGGCAUCGACUAGAUUAGCAGUGCCGGUGGAGUGACGGACAGCCACAACGGGUCGCGAGGGUUAGGGGGGGGGAGGUGAUGCCGCCAAGGAGCAACAGAGAAAAUAAAAGUUGGAGACGCUUAGCGAAGGGGCGAUCAGGUAACAGCUGCCGCGCUCACACGACGAGGUCGACCGCAAUUCGUACAUUUCAUCUUGCAUCUCUCCCCCUCGUGCCCUUUCCGCAUUGCUCGAGGCUGACGUUUUCUCAUCGCCUCAUCACACCUGCCCAUGCACAG